rnacentral:rRNA from 1 species
UGGGGAAUCUUGGACAAUGGGGGCAACCCUGAUCCAGCCAUGCCGCGUGAGUGAUGAAGGCCUUAGGGUCGUAAAGCUCUUUCGCCUGUGAAGAUAAUGACGGUAGCAGGUAAAGAAACCCCGGCUAACUCCGUGCCAGCAGCCGCGGUAAUACGGAGGGGGUUAGCGUUGUUCGGAAUUACUGGGCGUAAAGCGCACGUAGGCGGACCAGAAAGUUGGGGGUGAAAUCCCGGGGGCUCAACCCCGGAACUGCCUCCAAAACUAUUGGUCUAGAGUUCGAGAGAGGUGAGUGGAAUUCCAAGUGUAGAGGUGAAAUUCGUAGAUAUUUGGAGGAACACCAGUGGCGAAGGCGGCUCACUGGCUCGAUACUGACGCUGAGGUGCGAAAGUGUGGGGAGCAAAACAGGAUUAGAUACCCCUGGUAGUCCACACCGUAAAACGAUGAAUGCCAGUCGUCGGGUAGCAUGCUAUUCGGUGACGCAGCUAACGCAUUAAGCACUCCGCCUGGGGAGUACGGUC